UGAAGUCACAGUGAGCAAAGGUAGUCC
rnacentral:piRNA from 1 species